GUUGCUAUGAAGAGGUUAAGCACUUGAAAUGUGCUGAAGGGCAGUGGACAGGUACUUGAGUACUUGCCGUGAGCUUUCUUUAAUAACGACUUCUCCUUCCACUGAGCUUC
rfam:Populus trichocarpa scaffold_17_contig_193, whole genome shotgun sequence.